rnacentral:lncRNA from 1 species
GGACUUUUGUAAGUUGUAUAUCUUGUUAGGUUUGUCGGAGUUUAUUCUCCCUACUAGAUUGGGUUUAGUUCAUGAUGGGUUGUUUAAGUUGCUGAUGAUUUAGACAAACUUGAUAUGUAUAAUUGGAGGGGAGGGGGGGGGGGGGGGUUAGUGUAUGAGAUUUUGGUUGAUAGUUUGUGUUCAGCUUCAAAAUGGAUUACGCGGGGAAAUAUGUCGUAUAUCCAUGUGGAUGGUUGCGUU